GGGAAUGAAUCUAAGCCUCCAGAGACAGCGCCUCCUGCUGCCUGAACGAGAACUGCACCUUUCUCUGCAAGGAUCUCUGGAUUUGUGUGAAAACUGAGCCCCAGACAGGUUAAGGGGCUUUCCUAAAGUUGCACAAACCCUGUCAUCCAUGGGAGCUUACCACGUGGAUGCAGAAGCUUUUGUGAGGGGCAGCCCGGACCAUCUUUUGGACUUAAUAUACCGAUAUGAAGAUUCAGAUGCAUCUACUCCUCGGUUGGGUGGAAGAGUGAUCCAGGUUGGCAGCCGUCUUGUUGAUGUCCCCUAUGUCAUCCAGAGGGCAGGAGCGGGCAGCUCUCUACCUUGGCAACUGGUUCCUCUCUCUCCAGCUUCAUCUUUUCCAUUGUUUUUUGUUUGUUUGCUUGUUUUUGUUUUUCAUUUUUACCUUUUACAGAUUGAUUUAAACAUUUUUUAAACCAC
rnacentral:lncRNA from 10 species